GGAUUGUGGCUCAGUGGUAGAGCGCUUCUUCGAAUAAGGGAGGCCCUGGGUUCGAUCCUCAGCACCA
rnacentral:tRNA from 1 species